AUGGUCCUCGGGUUAAGAGCGGGGCGAUGUGGCAGAGGAACUCGCCGCUCCGGGCCGAGCUGGGGCCUUUCGGAUCUGUUCGACCUUUGUCUAUGUAAAGCCGUGGCGCUGAAGGCAGCGCGGCGAGCAGCGUCCCGCCGCCGGGGGCCGGUUCCUGCCCGAGGGCCAGCCCCGGGCCGGGCAGCGGUGCCGCGGCACCUCGCAGAGGGGUUUCUUGGGAAAGAGCUUCCCUCCCGCAGCCGGCCGCUUCCCGUCGCACUUGGAGAUUUCCGGCCAGCGACGCCUGGAAGCGGCUCGCAGGGCUCGGCGCCCGGUGCCCGUGUGCGGGGCCGCCUCUGCCCAUCGCCCAGCCGAGAGCCCGCUCCGGGCAGGCGGUGGCGGGGACGUCCCCAGCGCCCUGUGCUCGUGGGGAGGGGAAACGGGCGAUUUAUCCCCGCCAGCGGCCCCGGCGGAGCCCUGGGCUCCAGCUGCUGGCCGGGAUGGCCGGGUCCCCGCGGGCUCCCCCCGGGCUGCAGCGGGAGGUGCGUUUGGGGACAGCAAAGGUCUGGCUGGUGCUUUGCACGUCUCUCAACGCCAGACAGUGAAGACAAACACAGCUCUGCCCAGAGACAGUGUCGCUCCGCAAGGAGCCGCCUCUCCUGCCCUGUAUCCGCCGGGAUAGCAGCCGGCUACAGUCCCUGCCUGCUCUCGGCACUGCGUGGCGGGAGAUGCCUGAGGCAGAACUGGCCCCGGCUCCCUUGCGGCGGCAGCAGCCGGAUUAGGACUGUGGCCACCCUUUGGAGGCUGCGUGCGCGGUGCAGCACGGCGCGGUGCGGCCCCCCUGCAGCUGCCCGCGCGAAGCAAACAGCCCGGUGCUCGGGGCGCCCGGGGAGGCAGCGAGCGCCAGGCGGCCGGCAGACGCUCAGUGCCGCGCGUGCUCCGGGAUCCUCCAGCUCUCGGGGUGCCGCGAGAAGGGAUGCAGAUGUGGUGCUGCGGUUUGCUGCAUCUUUAAAUCCGSCGUUAACUGUCUCUGGCUGA
rnacentral:lncRNA from 1 species